rnacentral:tRNA from 2 species
GCAUCAGACGCCCGAAUGGUCAGGGCAGCAGUCUGUAAAACUGUGGCUUACAAGCGUGGAGGUUCGAGUCCUCCCUGAUGCA